GCUAUAUCAACCGACGUUAAAAUAAAAUUUCCAAAGGACGCGCUCGGAGUGUGCUCGCUAAGCCUUAUGGGAGCCCAUAUUUGGCAACGCGAUUGACUGAACGCACUGAUCUCAAUAAUGUGAACAAUCCAGUGCAAAUAAUCCUGUAUCUCUGUUUUUUGACAGAAACUCUUAAUUCCAUCUUCAAAAUUCUAGCUGUCUUGUUAUAUCUUCCUUGCAUGCCAAUAAUUAAAGAAUUUACGACGCAAUAUAAGGUACAUACAUAUUUUAAAUAUUUUAGUUCUGGAGACUAGACCUCCCCACAUGCCCUCCCCAGGACAUUUUGCUGAAAAUAUAUUAGAUCACUAGAAACUCAGUUUAUGACUUUAUGACAGACCAACUAUUAAAGUUGUAGUAUAACUG